GCCUAAAGACCUCACCAGAAACAGAUGCUGGCACCAUGCUUCUUGUACAGUCUGCAGAACCAUGAGCCAAAGAAAUCUCUGUGCCACAAUGGCCAGGUAAUUUUGAAUUUUCAGUAGAGACAGGGUUUCACCUUGUUGGCCAGACUGGUCUCAAACUCCUAACCUUAAAUGAUCUGCCCACCUCGGCUUCCCAAAGUGUUGGGAUUACAGGCAUGAGCCACCAUGCCUGGCCAUAAGUUGAAAAUUUGAUAGAGUUGACUAUAUUUUAAAAAUUAAGACCAUCCUGCUGAUAGGGAAAGAAGGACUCAUGAUAACCCUGUACCAGGUACUGCCACACAGACUUUCUCCUUCAAUCCUCUGCACAAAUAAAACUUUAUUUCCAAAAACAGGCAGCAGAUGGGAUUUGGUCCACAGGCUGUAGUUUGUUGAUCUCUGCUUUAGGCUUUUGCUCAUUCUGUGUUCUUUUACUUGUCUACGUUAAACUCCUUUCAUCUGACCAACGCCCAUUCAAUUGUCACCUCAAGUCUGAGAUCUUGCCACACUACCCUGAGUAGAACUGGUCACGCAUACCACUGUGUUCUGUACACACCACCCUGACAAGUAACAGAAAAUUAAAGCUGUGUUUUCUCCCAUAACCAUAUUAUAAGCUUUAUUUAUUCAUUCAUUCACACAUGCAUAUAUUCACAGAUUCAUUCAUUUAACAACAUUUAACAACCACCCACUAUGGGGCAGAGCUGAUGACUUUUUAGUCUUUGUACAACACCCAGUGAAAGUAUAACACAUAAAACUUGCUUAAUACAUGCUUGUGAAGAAAAGGAGA
rnacentral:lncRNA from 1 species